UACGUAGGGCGCAAGCGUUGUCCGGAAUUAUUGGGCGUAAAGAGCUCGUAGGCGGUUUGUCGCGUCUGCUGUGAAAACCUAAGGCUCAACCUUGGGCUUGCAGUGGGUACGGGCAGACUAGAGUGCGGUAGGGGUGACUGGAAUUCCUGGUGUAGCGGUGGAAUGCGCAGAUAUCAGGAGGAACACCGAUGGCGAAGGCAGGUCACUGGGCCGCAAACUGAC
rnacentral:rRNA from 1 species